CCAAAGACCAGGCCGUCGGCUUCAACUACUUCGACCGAAGUUGCGGGCGAAAUCGUCGGCAAUCCCGGUCUUCUCGCGCGGCCAUGGCAGCAUUCCCUGGGGCUCGCUUGGACUCGGCCACUACAGCUAUAAAGGCGAGACCCUACCCUCGUUACCCUCCUGUUGCCUCAACUCCUUGUGACGCUCCUACCAAAACACCACGCACCAGGAGAGCAGAAGAAGAACACGAGAGAGAGAAAGAACGCUGCCGCGGAUCCAGGGGCAGGGCUAACCAUCGCAAGUCUUCCGGUUUGCGCCACCAGGAUGCGACGCCUCAUGCCGUGGACAAGUCCUGGUGCCAUGGAUCGCUAGUGGAGAACCUCACUGAUGUUCGCUGGGCCGAGUAGAAACUAGGGAGACCACCAAUUCUGCGGUUGCCACUUGGGGAGACCAGAAUUCGCCGUUGGCGGCCGACCACCACGACGGAGCUUCGAUGCGCUGUGGGCCAGGGUCCCUACCUCAUCCCCGUCGUGCGGUCACAAGGAUUUGAAGAAUCACCCUGGUAACUGGAAUCUCAAGUGCCAGGCAAG